AACUCAUGGUGAGGGCACCUUCUCAAUAAGUCCUUAUACCUCUUCCAUGCAUCAUAUAGAGUCUCUAAAUCCAUUUGCACGAAGGAAGAGAUAUCAUUCCUCAGAGAU
rnacentral:snoRNA from 1 species